AUGACUGAUGGGGAGGUAACAGACUACAGCCAUUUCCUUGAACUGAGGGGAUAUAGCAAUUCAAAGGUCAAAGGUCAAAGGUCAGUCUCUGUUUCCUGCCAGUAUCUUUCACACAACCAUUAUAAGUUGGGGACCGUUUGAUAGAUAAGUUUCCACUGUAGUAAUUUCUUAUUGGGCCUGGCUGGUUCUAAGUCUUACAUUAUGUCCCAGGGAAGCCAGUUCUCUGUAGACUCAGAUCAAAGAGCAUGACUCAAGGUUACACGUGUAAAAGUGAGAGAGCAGAGACGCUGACACAGGCCCCUGUGGCUUAGCAAGAGGCCCCCCUCAGGAGUGGCGAUGGUCAGAGAGGAGAACACAGGCCAAUCUUCCUCAGAGUCUUUUGUUAUUCCUUCUGUGGUUAUUUUUGAGCACCUACUGUGUGCGAGGCAUGUUCUUAGCACUGAAGCUACAACAACAAACAAAAACAAAGUCUUGCCCUCAUCGAGUGCUCUAGACUCAUAGGAAGACUGGCAGCAACCCAAGAGGCAGAUAUUUGACGGUACAGAGUGAAUGCGGCUCUCAAAGUGGAAAAAUCAACAGGAAAGAGGAAUAUAUUCUUACCAGAGAGCCACAGUAUACAGGCUCCCCAGAGUGACGUUUGAAUGGAUGGAGAUGGAGAAGGGGUGAAGGGCCUAGCUACAUAAGCAAAAGAAAAGUUGUAAACUAUAUAUAGUUCUAGAUGAUAAAUAUUUAUGAGUAAUCCCUACAGUUACAGAAAUAUCAUUUGUAGCUUUAAGGCUAGAAAAUGAAAAAGAAUCCAAGCCAGUAGAAGGCAUAAAACAAAGAGAAAGAGAAGAAUUUAAUAAAAUAAGAAAUGUAAAAACAUAUUGUGUGUGUGUGUGUGUGUGUGUGUGUGUGUGUGUGAUUGUGUGUGAAGCAUGGUGAUGGUGACAUGCCUUUAUGUCAUGUCUGUAACAACAGUGUUGUCAAGACUUAGGCAGGAAGAUCGAAAGUUUGAGGCUAACCUAGGCUACGUACUGGGAUGACCCCUCCCUAAAAAUGCCAUUUUUACAAACAAUAUAAAACAAUAGGAUUGGAAUAAUCCUAAAUUUAUUAGAUAUUACUGUGAACAUAAAUGGAUUUAAUUCAAUUAUUACAGACAAAGGAUUUUGGAUCUUUUGAAAC
rnacentral:lncRNA from 1 species